rnacentral:rRNA from 1 species
GACGAACGCUGGCGGCGUGCUUAACACAUGCAAGUCGAACGGAAAGGCCCGCAUCAUUUUUGUGGUGGGGGUGCUCGAGUGGCGAACGGGUGAGUAACACGUGGGUGAUCUGCCCUGUACUUCGGGAUAAGCUUGGGAAACUGGGUCUAAUACCGGAUAGGACCAUGGUUUAGUGUCUCAUGGUGGAAAGAUUAUUGUUUUGGUGCAGGAUGAGCUCGCGGCCUAUCAGCUUGUUGGUGGGGUAAUGGCCUACCAAGGCGUCGACGGGUAGCCGGCCUGAGAGGGUGGACGGCCACAUUGGGACUGAGAUACGGCCCAGACUCCUACGGGAGGCAGCAGUGGGGAAUAUUGCACAAUGGGCGCAAGCCUGAUGCAGCGACGCCGCGUGGGGGAUGACGGCCUUCGGGUUGUAAACUCCUUUCGUUAGGGACGAAGCCACAUUUUUUGGGUGUGGUGACGGUACCUUUGUUAAGAAGCACCGGCUAACUACGUGCCAGCAGCCGCGGUAAUACGUAGGGUGCGAGCGUUGUCCGGAAUUACUGGGCGUAAAGAGCUCGUAGGUGGUUUGUUGCGUCGUCUGUGAAAUUCCGGGGCUUAACUUCGGGGUGGCAGGCGAUACGGGCAUAACUAGAGUGCUGUAGGGGAGACUGGAAUUCCUGGUGUAGCGGUGGAAUGCGCAGAUAUCAGGAGGAACACCGAUGGCGAAGGCAGGUCUCUGGGCAGUAACUGACGCUGAGGAGCGAAAGCAUGGGGAGCGAACAGGAUUAGAUACCCUGGUAGUCCAUGCUGUAAACGGUGGGCGUUAGGUGUGGGGACCGGUUUGGUUUCUGUGCCGUGGCUAACGCAUUAAGCGCCCCGCCUGGGGAGUACGGCCGCAAGGCUAAAACUCAAAGGAAUUGACGGGGGCCCGCACAAGCGGCGGAGCAUGUGGAUUAAUUCGAUGCAACGCGAAGAACCUUACCUGGGUUUGACAUGCACCAGACGGUUGUAGAGAUACGUACCUCCCUUUGUGGUUGGUGUGCAGGUGGUGCAUGGUUGUCGUCAGCUCGUGUCGUGAGAUGUUGGGUUAAGUCCCGCAACGAGCGCAACCCUUGUCUUAUGUUGCCAGCACUUUGGGUGGGGACUCAUGAGAGACUGCCGGGGUUAACUCGGAGGAAGGUGGGGAUGACGUCAAAUCAUCAUGCCCUUUAUGCCCAGGGCUUCACACAUGCUACAAUGGUUAGUACAACGCGCUGCGAACCUGUGAGGGUGAGCGAAUCGCUGAAAGCUAAUCUCAGUUCGGAUUGGGGUCUGCAACUCGACCCCAUGAAGUCGGAGUCGCUAGUAAUCGCAGAUCAGCAAUGCUGCGGUGAAUACGUUCCCGGGCCU